GGGGGUCUCGCGGCCUAUCAGCUAGUUGGCGGGGUAACGGCCCACCAAGGCGACGACGGGUAACUGGUCUGAGAGGAUGGCCAGCCACAUUGGGACUGAGACACGGCCCAGGCUCCUACGGGAGGCAGCAGUGGGGAAUAUUGCGCAAUGGCUGCAAGGCUGACGCAGCGACGCCGCGUGUGGGAUGACGGCCUUCGGGUUGUAAACCACUGUCGGGAGGGACGAAUACAGGGCCUCGAAUAGGGGACCCUGGGUGACGGUACCUCCAAAGGAAGCACCGGCUAACUCCGUGCCAGCAGCCGCGGUAAUACGGAGGGUGCGAGCGUUGUCCGGAAUCACUGGGCGUAAAGGGCGCGUAGGCGGCCCGUUAAGUUGCCGGUGAAAUCCCGCGGCUCAACUGCGGGGCGGCCGGUAAGACUGGCGGGCUCGAGCACGGUAGAGGCAGAUGGAAUUCCCGGUGUAGCGGUGGAAUGCGUAGAGAUCGGGAAG
rnacentral:rRNA from 1 species